AUGAGAUUUCAGCACAUCUGUUCCCUGCUCACUCUCCUGUUUGUCUUCAUUUCCACUGCGGGGCUCUCAGGGUACCUUAGACCCAGCUCACUUCCUCCCCCCUGUCCUUCAGCUGUUUUAUCCAGGUACAAUGGCUUCUCAGUGGUCUACCUGGUGUUUCUUCUGCUCAGCCCACUGCUGCAGGCACCUUCGGCUGGUUGCAUGAGAGGGAGCACCAAGCUCUUCCUGCGAGCCGUGUGGGCCACCAGUGUCCUCUUCCUACUGCUGCAGGGCGCCCUACAGGUUGCCUUUAUCUCCCUUGGACCCGAAGGUGCUGUUUGGGAAGAGGCCGUCCAGCAUCUGGAGAUCGUUAGGUUCAGCUGGGUGGAUGCGAAGGACGUUGUGCGCCUCCUGGCCCCAGACAUUGGGAUGGCACGUGUGGGCCUGGUCACCUCCAAGCUGGGCCAUGAGCUGGUGAGGCCUCCUGGGACCACAGCACCUUCCCCUUUCGAUACCAUGGACCACGAGGAGGACGAGACGGCGGGAGAGAGACACAGCAUGGAGGUAAGUAGGAGAAGGGGUGCCAGGAGGUGGCUGGGGCCACGCGCCCCACAAGAUGCUGAGUGGCCUUCACAACAGACAAUGCUGAGUUCCUCAAAAAGGGUCAGCCCUGCAGGCCUUAUCAGCACUUCCCACAAAAAAAGGAGAAAUGCAGAGUUCCUCAAAGUUAAAAAUGGUCCACCCUGCAGGCCUCGUCAGCACUUCUGAGGCAGAUAGGCACCCUGACCCUCCCGGAAGGAUGUGGCUCCCCCGGCGGCAGCUUGUCCACUGAGCUCUGUGUCCCAGUACCUGGGCAAAGCAGGCCUGGACCAGCUGCCCAGUAAGUAGCAGAGGAGGAGCAGCAUCCACUGGAAGUGGGGCUGGAACUGGCAGCAGAGAACCAGCCUGGGGGGGCUCCCUUGCCGCCUGAAAUGCCCACUUUAUGGGGCAUGGUCCUUAGGGUGGGGGCUGGGAAGGAUACCUCCUGAGCUGGUGAAGUUCCCUGACUCUCCCCAUACCACUGAAGUUCCACUGUUAGGGAUUCAUUCUUUCAGCUGAAAUAUGAAUGCACACACACAGGAGAUUUAAGGGCAGAUAUCCCUGGAAGUGGCGCUAGUGGUAAAGAACUUGCCUGCCAAUGCAGGAGACAUGAGAGACGGGGGUUUGAUGCCUGGGUUGGGAAGAUCCCCUGGAGAAGAAAAAUGGCAACCCACUCCAGUAUUCUUGCCUGGAAAAUCCCAUGGACGGAGGAGCCUGGUGGGCUGGGGUCACAGAGUUGGACAUGACUGAAUGACUGAGCACGUGUUUCUGGAAGGACCGGGAGACUUUUUGGCUUUUAUUCCUCACUUUGGGGUAGUAACGGAGAAGGCAAUGGCACCCCACUCCAGUACUCUUGCCUGGAAAAUCCUGUGGAUGGCAGAGCCUGGUAGGCUGCAGUCCAUGGGGUCGCUAAGAGUCGGACACGACAGCGACUUCCCUUUCCCUUUGGGGUAGUAACAGAGGCCCAGGUGGAAGAUGGACUUGGGUGAGGUCACGACACCUCUUGAAAUCCCCCAAGGCCACCCUCAGGUUUAGGAAUUUGCUAGAAGUCCUCUCAGCAAGGCUUUGUCCUCACAGUCAGGUUAUCACCAUGAGAGGGCGAAGAGGAAGGCAAAGAGCAGAGUGCAGGUUGUGCUGAGACUGGCUCCCAGGGGCAUGGCUUGCAUCCCAGUGUGAACCUGCUGUGUGA
ensembl:lncRNA